GUCGAGCGGACAGAUGGGAGCUUGCUCCCUGAUGUUAGCGGCGGACGGGUGAGUAACACGUGGGUAACCUGCCUGUAAGACUGGGAUAACUCCGGGAAACCGGGGCUAAUACCGGAUGGUUGUUUGAACCGCAUGGUUCAAACAUAAAAGGUGGCUUCGGCUACCACUUACAGAUGGACCCGCGGCGCAUUAGCUAGUUGGUGAGGUAACGGCUCACCAAGGCAACGAUGCGUAGCCGACCUGAGAGGGUGAUCGGCCACACUGGGACUGAGACACGGCCCAGACUCCUACGGGAGGCAGCAGUAGGGAAUCUUCCGCAAUGGACGAAAGUCUGACGGAGCAACGCCGCGUGAGUGAUGAAGGUUUUCGGAUCGUAAAGCUCUGUUGUUAGGGAAGAACAAGUACCGUUCGAAUAGGGCGGUACCUUGACGGUACCUAACCAGAAAGCCACGGCUAACUACGUGCCAGCAGCCGCGGUAAUACGUAGGUGGCAAGCGUUGUCCGGAAUUAUUGGGCGUAAAGGGCUCGCAGGCGGUUUCUUAAGUCUGAUGUGAAAGCCCCCGGCUCAACCGGGGAGGGUCAUUGGAAACUGGGGAACUUGAGUGCAGAAGAGGAGAGUGGAAUUCCACGUGUAGCGGUGAAAUGCGUAGAGAUGUGGAGGAACACCAGUGGCGAAGGCGACUCUCUGGUCUGUAACUGACGCUGAGGAGCGAAAGCGUGGGGAGCGAACAGGAUUAGAUACCCUGGUAGUCCACGCCGUAAACGAUGAGUGCUAAGUGUUAGGGGGUUUCCGCCCCUUAGUGCUGCAGCUAACGCAUUAAGCACUCCGCCUGGGGAGUACGGUCGCAAGACUGAAACUCAGAGGAAUUGAC
rnacentral:rRNA from 1 species